rfam:Bordetella bronchialis strain AT17976, complete genome.
AUAGAUUUUCAAGCGUUGUGAUCGUUCGGUUGUGUCGAGUAAGUAGUUCGCCAUCAUUGUCCAUUUACUCCUUGAUCGUCUCUAUUUCGGACGUGCGUCCGUAUCUCAUCAAGGAUUUCUAUAUGGAAACCGGUAUCGUUAAGUGGUUCAACGCUGAGAAGGGUUUUGGCUUCAUCAUGCCUGAGAGCGGCGGCAAGGAUCUGUUCGCUCACUUCUCCGAGAUUCAGGGCGGCGGAUACAAAUCGCUCGAAGAAAAUCAGCGUGUAAGCUUCAUCGCUGGGCAGGGCGCCAAAGGCCCGCAAGCCACGAAGAUUACGCCCCUGUAAGUGCCGAUGACCGACUAGUUCGGGUAUAUGGUGCGGAAAAGGCCCUCCUUGGAGGGCUUUUUUGC